GUCCACUGGCCAGGCCAACAGAGGAAGGAAACCAUGAAGCUGCUGGGUUUUAAAAACUUAUGCGUGGAUAGCUUCCAAGCUCUCAGUUGUAUCUUGUAGUUUUAAAAAAUGUCCUCUUUCUGAGCGGGGAGCCGCAAUCCAUUAUGAAUGAAGACACUGCUUUGUUAUCUAAGUACACAAUAAUGACAAUAUUGAUUUGUAUGUACUUUGUACCAAUUAUCUCCCAAGAUAUUCAGAGAAAAGGGUACAGACUCUGAUGCUUCAAAUUCAUGCUCCAUGUUCUAGUUGUUCGUCAUUGGUCAAAUGACUGAGCCUACCUGAAUUUGUUUACUAAUCCAAAACAGGGGAGGCAUAAAAUUUUUACAGAGUAGAGGUGUUGAGGGAAUUAAAUGAGCGCAGUGUGUGUGUAUGUAUAAAACGUGUAGAAGUUAUAGGCUUUUACUGGGUUUGGCCACUUUGUGUACUACCUAGUUUCUUGGUCUACGUGGUUCACACAUAUUUGUCUAUGGCAGCAUAUAAAGAGACUCUUUAACUUGAAGUAUGAUAGAAAGAGAGAGAGAAAAUGAGAAGGAAAAAGGGGAAACGAAAGAAAAGCAGAAUUGAAAAUGACCGAGUGUGGUAUCACUGAGAACUACAUCCAGUUGGUUACACAGUCGUCUUAGCCACAGUGCAUUGCUAAACUCUGUGUUGUACUACAAUGCAGAUCUCAUACAAACCUACAACUCUCCCUCACUAACAACUGAAGAAGACUCCCAUCAGAGAGGUUAACAGAGUGAUCUACAGUCUGGGGUUAUCUCUAUGAUCUCUCCUUAUAUGUAAAUUAUUUAGAAGAGUGUGAUUCUAAAACUCAAGGUAAAAAUUCGACGCUCGCUUUUUGUUUACAUGAAUACGUGCCAGCACCUACACUUCCUCAUUCUUAUAGCAUUACAAAAAUGCCAAUACAUGAGUCUCCUGUUUAUUAUCUGGAAAAGCUUUCAACUGAAAAUCCCCACUGUGUAAUUUAUACAGGCACUUUGAGAUGUAAUAAAAAUCCCUAACCCUAAUCUCAACCUCUGUCCUUUUAAAAUCCAAUUUAGAACACUUGUCAAGUGACUGACUAGAAAGGUGCCUUCCAUUAAGCAAAUGCCAGGAGGUGUUUUCUUGUGAAAAUGAAGAGAGUUAGCAACUGAUCAGCAACUAGAAAUUUU
rnacentral:lncRNA from 1 species